AAGAGGUUCGACCCGAGCGAAGCGAGAGAACGUUGCGUCAGCAACGGCCCGCAGGGCGAGCCACGCAGUGGCGAGUCAUCCUCUAUCACCGACCA
rnacentral:sRNA from 2 species